rnacentral:rRNA from 1 species
GUCUGCAACUCGACUACAUGAAGCUGGAAUCGCUAGUAAUCGCGAAUCAGCAUGUCGCGGUGAAUACGUCCCCGGGCCUUGUACACACCGCCCGUCACACCAUGGGAGUUGGAAGCGCCCGAAGUCGGUGACCUGACCGAAAGGGAGGAGCCGCCGAAGGUGAAGCCAGCGACUGGGGUGAAGUCGUAACAAGGUAUC